GCCGCCACGGCAGAGCACUCCAUCCUGUUCGACCUGAUCCUCGCACUGCCCAGACUCUCUCUCUUACGCACAGCUAUAAAAGGGAGUACCAGAGCCCCUACUAGAGUUCCCUUUGCCACUGUUGCCUUGCCACAUCUUCCCCUGUUUUGUGCCCAAGCGCUACCACCUAAGCUCUUGAGGAACUCCCCUCUCCGCUCAACUUCCUCCUUUUCCCAACCCACCAGCC
rnacentral:lncRNA from 1 species